rnacentral:tRNA from 1 species
GGGGAAUUAGCCUAAGUGGUAGAGCGCCGCUUAGCAUGCGAGAGGCAGCGGGAUCGAUGCCGCAUUCUCCA